rnacentral:rRNA from 1 species
AUACGUAGGGGGCGAGCGUUGUCCGGAAUGAUUGGGCGUAAAGGGCGCGUAGGCGGCCCGGUAAGUCUGGAGUGAAAGUCCUGUUUUUAAGAUGGGAAUUGCUUUGGAUACUGUCGGGCUUGAGUGCAGGAGAGGUAAGUGGAAUUCACAGUGUAGCGGUGAAAUGCGUAGAGAUUGGGAGGAACACCAGUGGCGAAGGAGACUUACUGGACUGUAACUGACGCUUAGGCGCGAAAGUGUGUGGAGCAAACAGGAUUAGAUACCCUGGUAGUCCACACUGUAAACCAUGAAUGCUAGGUGUAGGGGGUAUCGACCCCUUCUGUGCCGCAGUCAACACAAUAAGCAUUCCGCCUGGGGAGUACGGCCGCAAGGUUGAAACUCAAAGGAAUUGACGGGG